rnacentral:rRNA from 1 species
AUUGAACGCUGGCGGCAGGCCUAACACAUGCAAGUCGAACGGUAACAGGAAGCAGCUUGCUGCUUUGCUGACGAGUGGCGGACGGGUGAGUAAUGUCUGGGAAACUGCCUGAUGGAGGGGGAUAACUACUGGAAACGGUAGCUAAUACCGCAUAACGUCGCAAGACCAAAGAGGGGGACCUUCGGGCCUCUUGCCAUCGGAUGUGCCCAGAUGGGAUUAGCUAGUAGGUGGGGUAACGGCUCACCUAGGCGACGAUCCCUAGCUGGUCUGAGAGGAUGACAAGCCACACUGGAACUGAGACACGGUCCAGACUCCUACGGGAGGCAGCAGUGGGGAAUAUUGCACAAUGGGCGCAAGCCUGAUGCAGCCAUGCCGCGUGUAUGAAGAAGGCCUUCGGGUUGUAAAGUACUUUCAGCGGGGAGGAAGGGAGUAAAGUUAAUACCUUUGCUCAUUGACGUUACCCGCAGAAGAAGCACCGGCUAACUCCGUG